rnacentral:rRNA from 1 species
UACGGAAGGCAGCAGUGGGGAAUAUUGGACAAUGGGCGCAAGCCUGAUCCAGCCAUACCGCGUGGGUGAAGAAGGCCUUCGGGUUGUAAAGCCCUUUUGUUGGGAAAGAAAUCCAGCUGGUUAAUACCCGGUUGGGAUGACGGUACCCAAAGAAUAAGCACCGGCUAACUUCGUGCCAGCAGCCGCGGUAAUACGAAGGGUGCAAGCGUUACUCGGAAUUACUGGGCGUAAAGCGUGCGUAGGUGGUCGUUUAAGUCCGUUGUGAAAGCCCUGGGCUCAACCUGGGAACUGCAGUGGAUACUGGGCGACUAGAAUGUGGUAGAGGGUAGCGGAAUUCCUGGUGUAGCAGUGAAAUGCGUAGAGAUCAGGAGGAACAUCCAUGGCGAAGGCAGCUACCUGGACCAACAUUGACACUGAGGCACGAAAGCUGGGGAGCAAACCAGGGAUUAGAUACC